CUCAUUGCCCAGCGGACCCCAGCCUCUGCCAGGUUCGGUCCGCCAUCCUCGUCCCGUCCUCCGCCGGCCUCUGCCCGGCGCCCAGUGAUCCUCCAUCUCUUUUCCCUGGCGCCCUCGGUUCGCUCCGGACACCAUGGACAAGUUUUGGUGGCACGCAGCCUGGGGACUCUGCCUCGUGCCGCUGAGCCUGGCGCAGAUCGAUUUGAAUAUAACCUGCCGCUUUGCAGGUGUAUUCCACGUGGAGAAAAAUGGUCGCUACAGCAUCUCUCGGACGGAGGCCGCUGACCUCUGCAAGGCUUUCAAUAGCACCUUGCCCACAAUGGCCCAGAUGGAGAAAGCUCUGAGCAUCGGAUUUGAGACCUGCAGGUACGGGUUCAUAGAAGGGCACGUGGUGAUUCCUCGGAUCCACCCCAACUCCAUCUGUGCAGCAAACAACACAGGGGUGUACAUCCUCACUUCCAACACCUCCCAGUAUGACACAUAUUGCUUCAAUGCUUCAGCCUACUGCAAAUCCAAACACAGGUUUGGUGGAAGACUUGGACAGGACAGGACCUCUUUCAAUGACAACGCAGCAGAGUAA
rnacentral:sRNA from 1 species